AGUGAACGCUGGCGGCAGGCCUAACACAUGCGAGUCGAACGGUAACAGGAAGCAGCUUGCUGCUUCGCUGACGAGUGGCGGACGGGUGAGUAAUGUCUGGGAAACUGCCUGAUUGAGGGGGAUAACUACUGGAAACGGUAGCUAAUACCGCAUAACGUCGCAAGGCCAAAGAGGGGGACCUUAGGGCCUCUUGCCAUCGGAUGUGCCCAGAUGGGAUUAGCUAGUAGGUGGGGUAACGGCUCACCUAGGCGACGAUCCCUAGCUGGUCUGAGAGGAUGACCAGCCACACUGGAACUGAGACACGGUCCAGACUCCUACGGGAGGCAGCAGUGGGGAAUAUUGGACAAUGGGCGCAAGCCUGAUGCAGCCAUGCCGCGUGUAUGAAGAAGGCCUUCGGGUUGUAAAGUACUUUCAGCGGGGAGGAAGGGAGUAAAGUUAAUACCUUUGCUCAUUGACGUUACCCGAAGAAGAAGCACCGGCUAACUCCGUG
rnacentral:rRNA from 1 species